rnacentral:rRNA from 1 species
UACGUAGGGUGCAAGCGUUGUCCGGAAUUAUUGGGCGUAAAGAGCUCGUAGGCGGUUUGUCGCGUCGGCUGUGAAAACUCGGGGCUCAACCCCGAGCCUGCAGUCGAUACGGGCAAACUAGAGUGUUGCAGGGGAGACUGGAAUUCCUGGUGUAGCGGUGAAAUGCGCAGAUAUCAGGAGGAACACCGGUGGCGAAGGCGGGUCUCUGGGCAACAACUGACGCUGAGGAGCGAAAGCGUGGGGAGCGAACAGG